UCCCUUCUCCGAUCCCUUACAUCCAUUCAGAAAUCUUGCUACCGGCAUCAAGACCUUCAACUUGUACCAAGCAGAUUUCCGUUCGGGACCGGUAAGUGUCAUGANCCUUGAAACCUCUUUNUCUUCUUGCAUGCAUGCACCCUUAAGGCUUGCAUGUGACUAUCAAACCAUUUCUCUGAACCUAUUUUGUAUUUAACUCUAGAAGCUUUGGAACCUUAGAAGAGAUAGUUGCCGCCA
rnacentral:lncRNA from 1 species